AGGCAUCACCAACAGCAUUAACAUGAUGACCAAAGUCAAGACCACAGUUAUCAACUUACCAAGCCCUUCUUACACCAUGGGUUAGUGUUAUCUGCAAGGGAACCAAUAAUCACUACUACAUCCUUAGCUGAUUAGUAAUAUUCGAGGAAGAGUUAUCUUUUUCUACUACAUCCUUAUUAAUUCUAGCACUGUGCUCCUAUUUUCCGAUUUUGCUGAAAAUGGUUCAACAAGACUUGAUAAAUAGACGAAUGGGAGUUGUAUUUGUUGCUAUCGUAUUUAUUUGAAGCAUGGUAGUGUUAACAAUUGCAUAUGAACUGGUUUGCACUAGCUUGUUAAUUUCUGAACUCAUUGUGAAGCGAUUGAGAGGAAC
rnacentral:lncRNA from 1 species